rnacentral:rRNA from 1 species
UACGUAGGGCGCAAGCGUUAUCCGGAAUUAUUGGGCGUAAAGAGCUCGUAGGCGGUUUGUCGCGUCUGCCGUGAAAGUCCGGGGCUCAACUCCGGAUCUGCGGUGGGUACGGGCAGACUAGAGUGAUGUAGGGGAGACUGGAAUUCCUGGUGUAGCGGUGAAAUGCGCAGAUAUCAGGAGGAACACCGAUGGCGAAGGCAGGUCUCUGGGCAUUAACUGACGCUGAGGCGCGAAAGCAUGGGGAGCGAACAGG